rnacentral:lncRNA from 1 species
CAUGAUAUAAUCUCAAGCACCACACCAUACUCUUAAGUUUAUGAUCCAACUAAAAGGAUAACAUUUCUAAUGGAAAACAAACAAUAUCACAUGAAAUCGAUUACCCUUAGCAUACCCGUGUCCACCAGAAGGGUAAGGUUUCAGAGUACGUUUAUAUUUGAGAAGAGAUAGGUCAAUAGUAAGUUUAUAUUUGAGAAGAAAAAGGUCAAUUUGAUAAUAAAGAAGUUUUUU